GCAGCAAUCAAUCCUCAACCACACCACGACGUCCCUCCUCCCCUCCACGAUCAAAUUGUGCCAAGCUAAGGAUAGGAUAGGAUAGGAUAGGAUGGUUUGCAUCGCACUCCUUUGGGCGUUCCUCCUCUUUCCAUGUGUAGCACCUGUCGCGUGCCUCCCCUCCACGAUCGAAAUAAGCCCGACGGCAGCGCGGGUGCUACUCCCCUGGGGCUUGUCCAGCAGUGCAAGCGUGGGCUCGAGCCUCGCGCUCUGCCCCAGCCUCCCAGCCACUCCGGCAAUCGGUAAGCCUCCUCUCCCGCCCCGUCCGCGGCACCUCCAUUGGCAAGACUUGGAGCCCUGCGGCCGCGGACAGGUAAAAUCUUGGCGCGGGGAGUACGGAGUAAGCGAUUUGUUAGCUGCGACAUCGAAUUAAGUCAAAUCCUGAGUCUCUUCUGCAGCUGUCCGGCCCUGAUCUACGUUUUUCUGGGCAGGAAUCGGAGCGUCAUGGAGGAUCCAUCCAACUCGAUCUGGGCGGCAACUCCCAGUGCCAGAGACAUGGAGGAACCAUCCAACCACCAUGCCCGAUGGAUCCUCAGCAGCAAGUCCGCAUCCCCGCAGAGAUCUCGUGAAUCCGAGCCUGAAGUCUCUGACAGAAGCGAAGCUCCUUUCCAGAGCAAACCUCCCUCACACUAUGUGCAGCUGUGGUGAACGUGUUUUGCUCAUGUUUGAAUUACAUCUCUUCAUGCUUGCCGAUGUUCAUGUAACGACUUUACAUUUUAGUGACUUCAGGCGAUUCAUGUAGAUUCUGUUGCAUGCACCAUUACCAUGCCUUGGGAGUACUACCUCGUCCGGGUUUAUUAGGUCCCUAGUAUUUUGAGCCAAAUUUUCAUCAUUCAUAUGACUAACAAAAUAUAGAUUCUAUGCUACAAAAAGUACACUAUUGGAUUGGAUUUGUAUUUGAAAGAGCUUUUCGAAGGCAUAAUUUUUAUGACAUAUAGUUUACAUUUUAUUAGUUAAAUUUGUUGAUUAAACUUUAGCCCAAAAUGAGAGGAGGUCUAAUAAAUCCGGACGGAUGUACUCCCUCCGUUCCAAAAUAGAUGACUCAACUUUAUACUAAUUUUGCUACAAAGUUAGUACAAAGUUGGGUCAUCUAUUUUGGAACGGAGGGAAUAGUAUUUUUGUUAGUGGUGCAUUCCCAAGAUUUCUGUUCCAUUUUGCUCUAGUUACUUAGGUCUACAUUGUGAACGCGAAAUUGGUAUGCAAAGCCCGUCUAGCUCAGUUGGUAGAGCGCAAGGCUCUUAACCUUGUGGUCGUGGGUUCGAGCCCCACGGUGGGCGCUUCCAUUCUUUAGAGUUUUUUGCAAAACUACAAUCAUUCAGGCUGAAGUUAUUCUGACAGAAACGAAGCUCCUUUCCAGAGCAAAUAUCACUGCUCAUCCCGCCAUGUCAACCAUGCUGAACGAGGUCAGGAGCUACCUUUUUUUUUGAACCGGACAUUACCCCUUUCCAUUACUUUUCAUAACGGAAAUAACAUCAGUUCGACUUGAGAGCUACCUGCCCGAGAUCGAGAGAUCUUGUGUGCUACGGGCUACCGAUGCCCGUGAUGUUUGUGUUUGAACUAAGGUUCGAAACAUGUGAGGUCAUGUUUGAACUAAAUCUCUUCAUGCUUUGUGGAUGUUUGUGUAACUUCGGUGCUCUGGAAGUUGCUGGAAGCCCGGAAGGAUGCAGAAGCGACUUUACAUUUUAUGACUGACCUUCAUAUAAUUUCCGUUGCAUAAACCAUUGCCAUGCCUGGAAUGUUUUUUUUUUCUGGUUAGUGCUGCAUUUUUAAGAUUGAACUGUUCCAUUCUGCUGUACUUACUCUCUUGUAAAUUUCGAACGUAGAAGCAGCAGCAUGUCAGGCCCGUCUAGCUCAGUUGGUAGAGCGCAAGGCUCUUAACCUUGUGGUCGUGGGUUCGAGCCCCACGGUGGGCGAUUCACUGUUUUUUCGUACUCUUUUGAAUUUCAGGAAUAGUUUUUUUUUUGCAUCAAAUUUUCAGGAAUAGUUGAGUUAUUUGCUUUCCCUUCUUUGGAUAACUACAAUCAUUUCACUUGUAUUUAGGAACGGAGGGAGUAUAUUUAUCGAGCCGAGGAGCUACCUGACUGGAGAUCGACAGAUUUGUGUGCUAACAGCUAAGGCUUGCCCAAGGUUGAGCCGUGAGCUCGCUUCCUUUCAAAGAGUCAUUUUCCAAGCCUAACCACGACUGUUCCCAAGGACUGUAGCAGCCACUCGAGAGUCAUUUUCCAAAAAUGUAGCAUCCAAAUUUAAUAUAUAAACCUUGCUGGAGGUUUCUCCCAUUUAACAACCACCUCAUUACUCUGGAGUGGACACUUUGCAAAAUUUGAUGUGAUUGUGUU